AGAUAAAUCUUGAGCAUGGGUGUCA
rnacentral:piRNA from 1 species